AUAUUAAACAAAAGAAAAACAAAAUUUCUCCUUUAUGUUCUUCUUCUCUAGCCGAAUAUCACCAUUGUUGAAGAUCAAGAAACAAAUCAAACGGAUCUAAAACGAGGAAAAGUUAAUGUGUCGGGUUAGUCGUCGACUUCGUUUUUACAACUGUAUUUGUCGAGAUCAUUGGAUGCUCGAUCGAUUUGAAUCACGUAAGAGCACAAUCACACUAUCCAUUUGUCAUAUUGGUACUUUUGGUUGUUUUGAAUAACGGUUAUAAAUAGCAUGUACUAGAAGUUUUUAUGUUAUUUAUCAAUGUGAUGUGGUUUAAGUUUAUUUGCCUAUAUGCCUUGAUGUUGGCUUAUAAAUGUAAAUAUGUAAGUAUAUGUUUUGGUCACUUGUGAAUGCCUUGAGAUUUAGAUGGCUCUUGGUUCAUUGAAGUGUGAAUGAAGUGGUUAAAUGAUUGAUGUGUGAUGAAAGUUUAAAGCAUGAAUUUAUGACAUUGGAUU